AUUGAACGCUGGCGGCAGGCCUAACACAUGCAAGUCGAGCGAGCGGCGGACGGGUGAGUAAUGUCUGGGAAACUGCCUGAUGGAGGGGGAUAACUACUGGAAACGGUACCUAAUACCGCAUACCAUCAGCUUUUCCCAGAUGGGAUUAGCUAGUAGGUGGGGUAAAGGCUCACCUAGGCGACGAUCCCUAGCUGGGCUGAGAGGAUGACCAGCCACACUGGAACUGAGACACGGUCCAGACUCCUACGGGAGGCAGCAGUGGGGAAUAUUGCACAAUGGGCGAAAGCCUGAGGCAGCCAUGCCGCGUGUGUGAAGAAGGCCUUCGGGUUGUAAAGCACUUUCAGCGGGGAGGCGUUACUCGCAGAGGAAGCAACGGCUAACUCCGUGCCAGCAGCCGCGGUAAUUC
rnacentral:rRNA from 1 species